GACGAACGCUGGCGGCGUGCUUAACACAUGCAAGUCGAACGGAAAGGCCCUGCUUUUGUGGGGUGCUCGAGUGGCGAAAGGGUGAGUAACACGUGAGUAACCUGCCCUCGACUUUGGGAUAACUUCAGGAAACUGGGGCUAAUACCGGAUAGGAGCUCCUGCUGCAUGGUGGGGGUUGGAAAGUUUCGGUGGUUGGGGAUGGACCCGCGGCUUAUCAGCUUGUUGGUGGGGUAGUGGCUUACCAAGGCUUUGACGGGUAGCCGGCCUGGGAGGGUGACCGGCCACAUUGCGACUGAGAUACGGCCCAGACUCCUACGGGAGGCAACAGUGGGGAAUAUUGCACAAUGGGCGGAAGCCUGAUGCAGCAACGCCGCGUGCGGGAUGACGGCCUUCGGGUUGUAAACCGCAUUCGCCUGUGACGAAGCGUGAGUGACGGUAAUGGGUAAAGAAGCACCGGCUAACUACGUG
rnacentral:rRNA from 1 species